UCAAGUAAGUAAGGGCGUACGGCGGAUGCCUUGGCCAUAUCAGCCGAAGAAGGACGCGAUAAGCUGCGAUAAGCUGCGGUGAGGUGCAAGUAACCUUUGACCCGCAGAUCUCCGAAUGGGGAAACCCGGCAGCAGUAGUGCUGUCAUCCUCUAUGAGGAAGGGCACCCGGUGAACUGAAACAUCUAAGUAGCCGGAGGAAAAGGAAUCAACAGAGAUACCCCUAGUAGCGGCGAGCGAACGGGGCAGAGCCCAAACCGGGAUGGGAAACCAAUCCGGGGUUGUGGACUGCUAUCAAAUGCAUGAGUGAAGCAGAAUGAGCUGGGAAGCUCAGCCAGAGAGAGUGAGAGCCUCGUAGGCGUAAGCAAGUGCAUGGAGCAGGAUCCGGAGUACCACGGGACACGAGAAACCCUGUGGGAAGCUGGGGGGACCACCCUCCAAGGCGAAACACUGAUAUGGACCGAUAGCGCAUAGUACCGUGAGGGAAAGGUGAAAAGAACCCCGGGAGGGGAAUGAAAGAGAACCUGAAACCGUAUGUCUACAAGCAGUCGAAGCACUUUUUAGGUGCGACGGCGUGCCUAUUGAAGAAUGAACCGGCGAGUUACUUCAGCUAGCGAGGUUAAGCAGGAAAUGCGGAGCCGCAGCGAAAGCGAGUCUGAACAGGGCGUAUAGUUAGUUGGAGUAGACCCGAAACCACAGUGAUCUACCCAUGUCCAGGUUGAAGCACAGGUAAAAAUGUGUGGAGGACCGAACCAGUGAGCGUUGAAAAGCUUUUGGAUGAGAUGUGGGUAGGGGUGAAAUGCCAAUCGAACGUGGAGAUAGCUGGUUCUCCCCGAAAUAGCUUUAGGGCUAGCCUCAUGGCGAGAGUACAGGCGGUAGAGCACUGAACGGGGUAGGGGCCUAUCCGGCUACUGAACCUAAUCAAACUGCGAAUGGCUGUACUUAUCCAUGGGAGUCAGACUGUGAGUAAUAAGGCCCAUAGUCAAGAGGGAAACAGCCCAGACCAACAGCUAAGGUCCCCAAUGCCGUACUAAGUGGCGAAGGAUGUGGAAUUUCGAAAACAACCAGGAUGUUGGCUCAGAAGCAGCCACCAUUAAAAGAGUGCGUAAUAGCUCACUGGUCGAGAGACUCUGCGCCGAAGAUGUCCGGGGCUAAAGUACGGAACCGAAGCUUUGGCAAUUAACAUAAGUUAAUUGGGUAGGGGAGCGUUCCUGCAUGGGAGAAGCCUGACCGGAAGGACAGGUGGACAGGCAGGAAGAGAGAAUGCCGGUAUGAGUAGCGAAAAGAAGGGUGAGAAUCCCUUCCACCGAAAGCCUAAGGGUUCCUGGGCAACGAUCGUCGUCCCAGGGUAAGUCGGGACCUAAUCCGAGGCGGAGACGCGUAGGAGAUGGACAACAGGUUGAAAUUCCUGUACUGGCUGAGGCCGUUUGAGCGAAGGAGUGACACAGGAAGGAAGGCGCGCGUGCGAAUGGAAGAGCACGUCCAAGCAGGUAGGUCGGGAGACAGGCAAAUCCGUUUCCCAUAAGGCCGAGAUGCGAUGGGGAGCUUCUGGAGACAGAAGCGAAGGGGCUGGCACUAAACUGUCGAGAAAAGCUUCUAGUGAGGACUCAGGCACCCGUACCGAAACCGACACAGGUAGGCAGGAUGAGAAUUCUAAGGUGCGCGGGAAAACCCUCGUUAAGGAACUCGGCAAAAUAUAUCCGUAACUUCGGGAAAAGGAUAACCCAGCGUACGUGAAGUGCAGAAACGCAUGGAGCGGAGAUGGGUGGCAGAAGAGAGGCCCAAGCGACUGUUUACCACAAACACAGGCGUCUGCUAAAGCGAAAGCUGAUGUAUAGAUGCUGACACCUGCCCGGUGCUGGAAGGUUAAGAGGAAGUGUUAGCGCAAGCGAAGCAGUGAAUUGAAGCCCCAGUAAACGGCGGCCGUAACUAUAACGGUCCUAAGGUAGCGAAAUUCCUUGUCGGGUAAGUUCCGACCCGCACGAAAGGUGUAACGAUUUGGGCACUGUCUCAACGAGGGACCCGGUGAAAUUGAAGUACCUGUGAAGAUGCAGGUUACCCGCGACUGGACAGAAAGACCCCAUGGAGCUUUACUGUAACCUGAGAUUGGAUUCCGGUAAGAGAUGUACAGGAUAGUUGGGAGGCUGAGAAGUGAGUACGCCAGUAUUCACGGAGCCGCUGGUGGGAUACCAACCUUGUUUUAUUGGAAUUCUAACGAGAAGCGUAACGAGCUUGCGGACAGUCUCAGGCGGGCAGUUUGACUGGGGCGGUCGCCUCCGAAAGAG
rnacentral:rRNA from 1 species